GUGAAUCAUCAAAUUUUUGAGCGCAAAUUGCAAUCUCCUCGGAGAGUAUGCCUGUUUGAGGGUCAGUCUAUAAAAAUCGACAUCGUUGCUGUUUUGCGGUGGCGUUUGUCGGAAAUUGGGUCAUCUUAAAUCCUUUUGAUUUAAGCGAAUUAAAAUUUUCUUGUGGUUCAAUGAACGUUUCUAUGAUGUAUUUCUUUACACGUUUAAGGUAUUGAUUUUUAAUAGUCGUGAACAUCAUAUCGGAUCGCGGCCAUAAUCUUU
rnacentral:misc_RNA from 1 species